rnacentral:rRNA from 1 species
CCUGGCUCAGGAUGAACGCUAGCGACAGGCUUAACACAUGCAAGUCGAGGGGCAGCAAUAAAAGUAGCAAUACGUUGGUCGGCGACCGGCGCAACGGGUGAGUAACGCGUAUGCAACCUACCUAUCAGAGGGGAAUAACCCGGCGAAAGUCGGACUAAUACCGCAUAAAACAGGGACACCGCAUGGUGAUAUUUGUUAAAGAAAUUCGCUGAUAGAUGGGCAUGCGUUCCAUUAGGUAGUUGGUGAGGUAACGGCUCACCAAGCCGACGAUGGAUAGGGGAACUGAGAGGUUGGUCCCCCACACUGGUACUGAGACACGGACCAGACUCCUACGGGAGGCAGCAGUGAGGAAUAUUGGUCAAUGGGCGAGAGCCUGAACCAGCCAAGUCGCGUGAAGGAAGAAGGAUCUACGGUUCGUAAACUUCUUUUGCAGGGGAAUAAAGUGCAGGACGUGUCCUGUUUUGUAUGUACCCUGAGAAUAAGGAUCGGCUAACUCCGUGCCAGCCGCCGC